CCUACGGGUGGCAGCAGUACGGAAUAUUGGUCAAUGGACGCAAGUCUGAACCAGCCAUGCCGCGUGGAGGAUGAAGGUCCUCUGGAUUGUAAACUUCUUUUCUUUGGGAAGAAACUCCCGAUUUCCAUCGGGAUUGACGGUACCAGAUGAAUAAGCACCGGCUAACUCCGUGCCAGCAGCCGCGGUAAUACGGAGGGUGCAAGCGUUAUCCGGAUUCACUGGUUUUAAAGUGGGCGUAUGAGUCCAGGGUGAAAUCUCCGGGCUUAACCCGGAAACUGCCAUUGAUACUAUUUGUCUUGAAUACUCUGGAGGUGAGCGGAAUAUGUCAUGUAGCGGUGAAAUGCUUAGAUAUGACAUAGAACACCCAUUGCGAAGGCAGCUCACUACGGAAAUAUUGACGCUGAGGCACGAAAGCGUGGGGAUCAAACAGGAUUAGAUACCCUUGUAGUC
rnacentral:rRNA from 1 species